rnacentral:rRNA from 1 species
UAGUCCACGCCGUAAACGAUGACAACUAGCUGUUGGGAGACUAUGUCUUUCAGUGGCGCAGCUAACGCUUUAAGUUGUCCGCCUGGGGAGUACGGCCGCAAGGCUAAAACUCAAAUGAAUUGACGGGGACCCGCACAAGCGGUGGAGCAUGUGGUUAAUUCGAUGCAACGCGAAAACCUUAACCUACUCUUGUACAUACUUGGAAGCUCUUGUAAUAGAGAGUGUGCCUUUGGUAGCCAAGAUACAGGUGCUGCAUGGCUGUCGUCAGCUCGUGUCGUGAGAUGUUCCGUUAAGUCGGAUAACGAGCGCAACCCUUACCCUUACUUUGUCCAGCGAUUCGGUCGGGAACUAUAAGGGGACUGCCGGUGAUAAACCGGAGGAAGGUGAGGGACGACGUCAAGUCAUCAUGGGCCCUUACGAGUAGGGGCUACACACGUGCUACAAUGGAGGGAUACAGACGGACGCUAAGCCGCGAGGUGGGUGCUAAUCCUAGG